GCUUACGGCCACACCGGCCUGAGUACGCCCUGAUCUCGCCUGAUCUCGGAAGCUAAGCAGGGUCGGGCCUGGUUAGUACUUGGAUGGGAGACCGCCUGGGAAUACCAGGUGCUGUAAGCU
ensembl:rRNA 5S_rRNA 5S ribosomal RNA